ensembl:lncRNA
GGAUUUCUCUCAAGAGAUAGGCUGGCUUCACGUGCAAUUCUUGGUGCUCUCUUUGGGAUAAGUAUCUAUUGUACCUUCUAGAGCUGGUAAUUGCAAUGUGACCACCAUGGACACCCAUUAGCAUGCCUGCUCCACCCCUUCUUUGGGUACAUUGUCCCUCUGGUCCCCCAAACAGAGACCUGGGGACUUCCUUCACACUCUCCUCUCCCUUCUUCCCCACAUCCAAAUGGUGAUCAGGAUUUGCCUUUACCCGGGAACCUCCUCUCCAUGCACAGCCCAUUCUCGACUCAGGUUCUCCUUAUUUCUCACCUGGAUUAAUGCUAUGGUUUUUCCUCAACAUCUAUGCUUGGCCUCUUUUGUGGGAGGCUUUUCUUGUCCACUUGCAUCCCUCAGUCUUGGCAGAACUGCAUCUUAUCCCAUGUACACUGAUUACAUAUUUAAUUUUGUCUCUUUCUCCAAUUCACCAUAAGCUUCUUGAGGAUGAGGACUGUGUUUUAUCCUUGAAUGGUCAGCUCUGAACAAUGCCCGACACAUCACUGAUACUCAUGGUCUGUUGAGUAAAUGGAGGAUGAUUUGCAGUUGGUGCUGUGUUCUGUGUUCCUGGGGGAAUCUUGUCCUGAGGGAUGUGAGCGUGAAUACACAGCUUCUCCAUCUGUGGCUUUGGGGAUUCUUCCUCCUCAUUUAUGGGCGUCGGCGCUAACCAGCUCUGGAAACGGCUCGCUCGGAGGAGCAGACCCAGCUGUGCAGCGAUGUGCGGCGUCGCCGCAUGUGCCCCGUGGGGUGCAGCAUGAGUCUUCCUUUGUGGCGUGCGGCUCCAUCGGAACGCGCGUUGUGACGACAAAUUCCAUCCCUCCCCACCCCCAAGCCGCAGUUAACAGUGCUGGGGCAGAGACUGGUGGAGGGGCCCAGAGCCCACGUAGACCGAGAUGAAGAUGAGGAAGAUCAUGAGCAGGAAGAGGCUGGCGGCCGCGGCGGCCACAGGGAAGAGCUCGGUGCGCGGCGCAGCCUCCCGCGACCGCGACUCCUGGGCUGCGUAGAGGAGCCGCGUUGCCAUAGGAACCGUGGCGGCGCCCCCAGCGAAACCCUGCGUUUGUGACAGGAGAAGCUAACCGCGGCCGCCCACUCCCACCCGCGCUUCCUCCCCGCCCCCACCCGCAGUGCGCGAAAAGCAGAGAUCCGAGAACCGCGUGCAGUACAAACGGCAAACGCUUCUCACAAAUUUCCCGGGGGCUGAGCGCGCGGCCGCAGGCCGGGAACCCACCGCUCUCAGGCUCCCAGCCCCGGCGCUACGACCCCGUGGGCGCCGCCUGCGCAGCCCCUCCUUCCAGCCCGCUCGGGCGCAUCCCCCAGGCCGGGGCAGCGAUGCGGACACCGGGAGCCCCUCCCGCCGGUCCCGGCUUUGGCCGACACCCGGGGACCAUGGAGUGGCAAAAGAACCGCAACGCGGCGCCUGGCCGACCGCGGACGAAGUUCGAGGCCGGAGGGCGUUUUAUUUUUGCAAAAUUGCCCCAAAGCCAGGGCCUCAUGUACUCACUGUCUCCUUUGCCCCGCAUGCUCCAAGAAAAUAAGAGACAUUCUACCCCGAGUCCUAAUUAUUGGGUCAUUUCCUUAAUGCGCCGUGUGUCCCCGUAGCCAGAAACACACUGCGAGAUGCAGUGUUUGGGUAAUUAACAAAGAGACGAGACCUGACGGGGCUUCCGAAACGCUAGAUACUGCGGCCCGG